UACGUAGGGUGCGAGCGUUAAUCGGAAUUACUGGGCGUAAAGUGUGCGCAGGCGGCGCCGCAAGUCGUGUGUGAAAGCCCCGAGCUUAACUUGGGAAUUGCGCUCGAAACUAUGGUGCUGGAGUGUGGCAGAGGAAGGUGGAAUUCCACGUGUAGCGGUGAAAUGCGUAGAGAUGUGGAGGAACACCGAUGGCGAAGGCAGCCUUCUGGGCCAACACUGACGCUCAUGCACGAAAGCGUGGGGAGCAAACAGG
rnacentral:rRNA from 1 species